ensembl:lncRNA
UGGAAUUCCAGUUGAGGUAUUUCAAAUCCUGAAAGAUGAUGCUGUGAAAGUGCUGCACUCAAUAUGCUAGCAAACUUGGAAAACUCAGCAGUGGCCACAGGACUGGAAAAGCAGUUUUCAUUCCAAUCCCAAAGAAAGGCAAUGCCAAAAAUGCUCAAACUAUGGCACAAUUGCACCCAUCUCACAUGCUAGUAAAGUAAUACUCAAAAUUCUCCAAGCCAGGCUUCAGCAAUACGUGAACCAUGAACUUCCUGAUGUUCAAGCUGGUCUUAGAAAAGGCAGAGGAACCAGAGAUCAAAUUGCCAACAUGCGCUGGAUCAUGGAAAAAGCAAGAGAGUUCCAGAAAAACAUCUAUUUCUGCUUUAUUGAGUAUGCCAAAUUGCACUGUCUAUAGAUUACCUAAUUCUUUCCCCAACUCAGUCAUUCCUCAAGUUUGGUUAAUAUUCAUUUUGCUAGAAUGGAGAUGGUGGUGAGAAAAAUGGACCAAGCUAUUGACCUCCUAAGUGGAAAAGGAUAAACUGAGAACCUCGGGGUGGUCCCAGUGUGUCCGCCCUGGACCCCUGACCUGCACUUAUCACUCAACCAUGGUAUUCUCAGUCAUGCAGCAAGGGGGUCCCUGCAUCUUCGUUUAUGCCUGGAGGUACUAGAGCUCCAGAGGUCUAGACUGUGCCCAUCGUUGUAAGAUGGAACUUGACACUCUGCAUGGUGACCUUGACUCUUGCUGUAAGCCUCCUGCACACCUGGGUCCAAGAAGGUCAACAUUUUACCCCAUGCUCUCUCUCCAUAAUGAAUUGUCCCACUAAAUGUAUGGCUUCAAUGAGUGUGAACAGACACUGACUCAGUGGACAUGCAAAUAUUGUUUGGAAAAUGAAGACAAGGAAGAAACAUCACAUGAUUGAUAAUAGUUAUUUGGCAAGCUCCUAAGGAGGACAUAGUGGUGGAACUGUCCCAGGACCGGGCUGAGGAAGAGUCUCUGAGGACUGUGGCCGAAUCUGGGGAAGCCUAUGAACAUGGCUCUAUGCUGAAUCCCUGAAGACCUGGACCCCAUUCUGGACCCCAGAGGGGAUGUAGCACCCCCAGCACCAGGAGCCUCAUCUGAACCAGACCAGGGGAGGCCUCACUGCUUCUUUCCUGGGGGCCCUUAUUUAGUAUAACAAGUUGUUUUGUCGUAUAGAUUUCAGUUCAGUUCAGCCGCUCAGUCGUGUCCUACUCUUUGCGACCCCAGGAAUCACAGCACGCCAGGCCUCCCUGUUCAUCACCAUCUCCCGGAGUUCACUCAGACUCACAUCCAUCGAGUCAGUGAUGCCAUCCAGCCAUCUCAUCCUCGGUCAUCCCCUUCUCCUCCUGCC